rnacentral:lncRNA from 1 species
AGGCUUGAUUCGCAGUAAGAAGUCAGGACGCUGUGUUUCCUUGUCCGGAGCAGCCCAUGUUGCACCUGGGUACCUGGCAAGAGCAGCUUAAGAAAGCAAGAGCUUAUUUUGGCAGAUCGAGGGUGGGGGAAGACAUGACCACAGGAGUACGAGGUCACCUGGAGUCCACAGUGAGAAAGCAGGCAAGCGAGCGCUCGUGCUCAGCUUGCUUUCUCUAAGCCUAGGAUCCCAGCCCACAGAACGCUGCAACCCACCCACCGCCUGGCUCUUCAUCAGAAAUGAAAUCCUUCUGGAAUCGCCCUCACAGACACACUAGAGGUGUGCUUCCUCAGUGAUCCCAAAAUCUAGCCAGGUUCCACCCCUGCGUGAUGUGUGUAUGGGAUAGGUAUUCAUGGAAGCCAAGAAAAGUUACUCAACCCCUGAGGAUCAUGACCCAGACAGGGCUGGCCUUGGAUGUGUCUUGCAAGGGUAAAGCAAGGAGAAAAUUUUCUGUUGCAGUUAGGCACACAGGUGCGCCACCUAGCUUUACCAUGGACAACCACAUCAUGGAUAACUGACAUGCUGAGAAGGCCUGGGAUUUCCAUCCCCGACCCUCCUGCAGCAGUUGCAUGGGACAUCCGUUAGACUUUCCUGAAUUCACAACACAAUUUUUAAAAGAAGCAAAAAUUUCCUUCAAUCAGGACCGCCUGCAGGAAGAGAGCGUGUCUGUGUGUACAAAGUGAUGUCCUGCUUUGUCUGUUUCUGUGAGCCUAAGCCCUGGAUCCUGCCCCACAGUUGGCAGCAUUCAGCUUUGGAGCUUGAAAGACUGAAGGCCAGAACCUGGAGCUGAGAGAGACCUAUAGUCACCUGGAAAAUAAAUUUCCAUGCAUGUCUGUGCAGGAGCCUCUACACUGGGUUAACUGCGAUGAGAAGACCUGUACCAAAUGACCUUGGCCCCAUUCCAUGGGCUGGAUCCCAUGGACUCAGUGACCAGGAAGAGGAUGCUGAAUGAAUGCAGAUACUCUUCUUGCUGCAAUGGAACUGAGGGAGAUAACGUCGUCGAAGCACUCGAAGAUAAGCUGAGAUGGUCACCCAAGACGGACCAUCUUCAGAUGCACUUUCUUCAGAAAAUAGAAAUUAAGUGGUGUCUCCAUCUGAGAGACACUCUAGUGUUCAGACAGGGAGACAUUCAGCCUGUUGACGGCAAGCUAGCCACCAUGAGGUGCAGGGGUGCCUUGUGGUUUAAACGGAUGUUCAAGGUGACCUUCGCAGUCGACUCUACAGCCAAUCAAAUCGACAGUCAAGAUUAACCUUCAUGAGUGUUAUCUACCUGGCAGAGGUCCAACAAGCUGAAGACAAAGAAACCAUUGUGUAAGAGGGUCUGGAAAACAAAAAGAAG